GGGGGGGGGGGGGGGGGGGGGGGGGGGGGGGGGGGGGGGGGGGGGGGGGGGGGGGGGGGGGGGGGGGGGGGGGGGGGGGGGGGGGGGGGGGGGGGGGGGGGGGGGGGGGGGGGGGAUAAAAAAAAAAAAAAAAAAAGUCUCAAUCAAAGGGAUUUCAGUAUAACCAAGUCAUCCCAACAUGGAUUCCCUCACCAAGGGAAAAACAUCCAGUCACAGACAUCCCACCUAAAAAAGAACAACAAAUUUACUCCAGAGUCUGCAGCCUCAGUCACACAAACCUACCAGGGAAACAAAGAAAACUUUCCAGCACUGCCUGCAGAGGGGAGCAGCCAGGUCUGUGCAAGGCUGGACCAUGGCAAAGCCAGGUAUUCACCACAAACACCACCUGAGCACUUCCAUUUCCCAAAGAUUUCGGCCUAGAAGGAUUAAGCAUC
rnacentral:lncRNA from 1 species